rnacentral:rRNA from 1 species
UUCUGACCGUAAACGAUGCCAACUAGCGAUCCGCCGGCGGAUUCAUUUGCCCUGGUGGGGAGCUUCCCGGAAACGAAAGUCUUCCGGUUCCGGGGGAAGUAUGGUUGCAAAGCUGAAACUUAAAGGAAUUGACGGAAGGGCACCACCAGGAGUGGAGCCUGCGGCUUAAUUUGACUCAACACGGGGAAACUCACCCGGCCCGGACACCGUAAGGAUUGACAGAUUGAUAGCUUUUUCAUGAUUCGGUGGGUGGUGGUGCAUGGCCGUUCUUAGUUCGUGGAGCGAUUUGUCUGGUUUAUUCCGAUAACGAGCGAGACUCUGGCCUACUAAAUAGUUGGCGUGUUGCCAUCGCCCGCCCAACUUCUUAGAGGGAUUUUCGGUGUUCAGCCGCACGAAAUUGAGCAAUAACAGGUCUGUGAUGCCCUUAGAUGUCCGGGGCUGCACGCGCGCUACACUGGCAUACGCAGCGUGCUUGUCCUUCCCCGAGAGGGGUUGGUAAACCUAUGAAAUUUUACCGUGAUUGGGAUCGGACAUUGCAAUUAUUGUUCGUGAACGAGGAAUUCCUUGUAGGGGCGAGUCAUCAACUCGCUCUG